rnacentral:rRNA from 1 species
AUUUCUAGAGGUAGAAGUUACUUCGGUACAUCGGUGACAGGUGGUGCAUGGUUGUCGUCAGCUCGUGUCGUGAGAUGUUGGGUUAAGUCCCGCAACGAGCGCAACCCCUAUUGUUAGUUGCCAUCAUUCAGUUGGGCACUCUAGCGAGACUGCCGGUAAUAAACCGGAGGAAGGUGGGGAUGACGUCAAAUCAUCAUGCCCCUUAUGACCUGGGCUACACACGUGCUACAAUGGUUGGUACAACGAGUUGCGAGUCGGUGACGGCGAGCUAAUCUCUUAAAGCCAAUCUCAGUUCGGAUUGUAGGCUGCAACUCGCCUACAUGAAGUCGGAAUCGCUAGUAAUCGCGGAUCAGCACGCCGCGGUGAAUACGUUCCCGGGCCUU